UACGUAGGGGGCUAGCGUUGUCCGGAGUCAUUGGGCGUAAAGCGCGUGUAGGCGGUCCGGUAAGUCCGCUGUGAAAGUCGGGGGCUCAACCCUCGGAUGCCGGUGGAUACUGUCGGGCUUGAGUACGGAAGAGGCGAGUGGAAUUCCUGGUGUAGCGGUGAAAUGCGCAGAUAUCAGGAGGAACACCAAUUGCGAAGGCAGCUCGCUGGGAAGUUACUGACGCUGAGGUGCGAAAGCGUGGGGAGCAAACAGG
rnacentral:rRNA from 1 species